rnacentral:rRNA from 1 species
AUGAACGCUGGCGGCAUGCCUAAGACAUGCAAGUCGACGAGGUGGCCCAUUGAAGUCUGAGUGCUUGCACAAAGAUGGAUUUUGGAUUUUCACCUAGUGGCAAACGGGUGAGUAACACGUGGGUUACCUGCCUCUAAGUUGGGGAUAACAACUGGAAACGGUUGAUAAUACCGAAUGUGCUCUACGGAGUAAAGAAGCCCUUAAAGCUUUCGCUUAGAGAUGGGCCUGCGGCGUAUUAGUUAGUUGUGGGGUAAUGCCUACCAAGACAGCGAUGCGUAGCCGAACUGAGAGGUUAAUCGGCCACACUGGGACUGAGACACGGCCCAGACUCCUACGGGAGACAGCAGUUAGGAAUAUUCGUCAAUGGGGGAAACCCUGAACGAGCAAUGCCGCGUGAGUGAUGAAGGCCCUAUGGGUUGUAAAACUCUGUUGUUAAGAAAGAAUGGUAGAAUUAGGAAAUGAGUUCUACUUGACGGUACUUUUCAAGAAAGCCACAACUAACUACGUG